rnacentral:tRNA from 5 species
AGCCGGGUCGUCUAGCGGCCAAGGAUGGCGGGCUCUGGACCCGUUGACCCCGGUUCGAAUCCGGGCCCGGCUACCA